GACAGAGGGUGCAAACGUUGUUCGGAAUUACUGGGCGUAAAGCGAGUGUAGGCGGUCUGGUAAGUCGGAUGUGAAAGCCCCGGGCUCAACCCGGGAAGUGCACUCGAUACUGCCAGGCUAGAGUAUCGGAGAGGUUGGUGGAAUUCUCGGUGUAGAGGUGAAAUUCGUAGAUAUCGAGAGGAACACCGGUGGCGAAGGCGGCCAACUGGACGAAUACUGACGCUGAGACUCGAAAGCGUGGGGAGCAAACAGG
rnacentral:rRNA from 1 species